AGAGUUUGAUCAUGGCUCAGGAUGAACGCUAGCGAUAGGCUUAACACAUGCAAGUCGAGGGGCAGCAUUAUCUUAGCUUGCUAAGGUAGAUGGCGACCGGCGGAUGGGUGCGUAACGCGUAUGCAACUUGCCUCUGAGCGGGGGAUAACCCGGAGAAAUUCGGACUAAUACCGCGUAUGCUCACGGCAUCGCAUGAUGCAGUGAGGAAAGAUUUAUUACUCAGAGAUAGGCAUGCGUUCCAUUAGGUCGUUGGUGAGGCAACGGCUCACCAAGCCGACGAUGGAUAGGGGAGCUGAGAGGCCAACCCCCCACACUGGGACUGAGACACGGCCCAGACUCCUACGGGAGGCAGCAGUGAGGAAUAUUGGUCAAUGGAGGAAACUCUGAACCAGCCAAGUCGCGUGAAGGAAGACGGUCCUAUGGAUUGUAAACUUCUUUAGUAGGUGAAUAGAGGCAUGUACGUGUACAUGUAGGCAGGUAACCUAAGAAUAAGUAUCGGCUAACUCCGUGCCAGCAGCCGCGGUAAUACGGAGGAUACGAGCGUUAUCCGGAUUUAUUGGGUUUAAAGGGUGCGUAGGUUGCUGAUUAAGUCAGCGGUGAAAAGCUGUGGCUCAACCAUAGUCUUGCCGUUGAAACUGGUUAGCUAGAGUACAGAUGCUGUGGGCGGAAUGCGUAGUGUAGCGGUGAAAUGCAUAGAUAUUACGCAGAACUCCAAUUGCGAAGGCAGCUCACAAAACUGACACUGACACUGAUGCACGAAAGCGUGGGGAUCAAACAGGAUUAGAUACCCUGGUAGUCCACGCCGUAA
rnacentral:rRNA from 1 species